UUUUCAACCAUAAAUGAAGAAAGAUCAGCUUCCACUCUCUGCCUUCAAGUCUAUUAAGAAGGAUGAAAUAUGAGUGAACAUUUUGAAAAAUGUCGUGCAAUCAACAGAUAUUGUUGUACUGGCCUGAGCAUAGAAAGUCAACACCAAGACAAAAGUAGGCCAAAUUGCAUGGUCUUUAUUGCUGGCGGCUACGGAAGACUCACGUCUCUCCAACCCGUGGCCCUGAAAGAUCCCUGGCCUGGCACAGUGGUUCAUGUCUGUAAUCUCAGCACUUUGGGAGGCCAAGAUAGGAGGGUUGCUUGAAGCCCGAGUUCAAGACCAGCCUGGGCAACAUAGUCCAACCCCCUCUCUACAAUACAUUUUUUUAAAUAAAUAAAAACUAAAAACUUCAGCUACCUUUCCUAAAUUGAAGACCCAGAAAAAAUUUCUGAACAUAUGUAAUGGGCUGCCCUAACACAUUAUAAAUAGCCUACACUUUAGAACCUCAUAUUUACUUCAAGCAAUAGCCUGCCACAGUCACUACAGUAGGAAGUGAGAAAAUGGCCAGACAAUCCAUUUGGAGGCAGGAUUUUACAGGCAGACCUAAGAGGACAUAUACAUUUGGGAGUACGCUGCAGUUCACUAUGCAUCUACAAAGCAAAAAUGUAUCCGAGACAGGCCUCAAUCAACGUAGAAGUUUGUUUUGCCAACAUUAAACACAUGCAGCAAGGAGACAGGGCUGCGCUUUUCUCCAAAGAUGAUUUUUGGGCUUCAAAAUGUAAAGGUUAAAGGGCAGAAUGUUGGGGAAUGAGGAAUAACUUUUCCAGAAGUGUGGAUAGAUGGGAGACAAAUGGUUGCAUUCUUUUGAGUCUUUCAUCAGCCUUUCACUGGCAUGCAAAAUUUACAUAUGAGAGAGGGACAGAAUAAUAGUCAUACACCUUUGUCAAGCUCAGGAAUCUGCAUUUUUACAUAAAAUAAUGUAAACAAUAGAGCAAAGGAUGCAAUCAGAUUUGCAUUUGUCUCAGGUGAGCCAAGGGAUGACUGAGUUCUGUGUCCUGCACUUGUGAAAAUAAGCUAUCAAUUGAUAUUGUCAGGGUGAAAUUCAACAGAAUAAAAUGGGAGGCAGGUUUUCCUGAUGCAGUUCCCAGCCUGACUUUUCCCUUUGGUUUAAUGAUUUGGGGGUCCCAAGAUUUAUUUUCCUUUCACAGAGCCAUCAAGACUUAUUGAAAAUAUAUAAGCAGUCACAUGUGUAGGGCCAGCACCACAGAUCCAUAACAGAACUCUACAGAAGUUCUACAAAAGGGUUUCUGCCGGAGAGCUCCUCGCGAUAUGCAGUUCCUAAUCUUCAUUUAGCAAUAGAGCCAUUACUCUCUCCUUAAUGGCAAUUGCCAUUGACCCUAAUGACUACCUAAAUGACAACAAAGUGGUCCAGUAAAGCCAGCCUCUUCUUACCUGGAGAAAGAACCUUCGUGGAAUUGACUGAGCAGAGCCCUUUGCAGCGGCAUUAGGCAGUGGUCUCCGUAACAGCUGCAGGCUUAACUUAAUGAGGUCCAUACUAGGCUCUGAGUGAGACCUCAGUGUUGAGAUCACAUCACUGCUGCACUAGGUUAGCAGCAACACUUGCCAUUCUUUUCCUUUUCACUUUGACUAUUAAUACUCCGAUGCCUCUUUUGAGUACUUGAAAAUAAAACUUAACAUAUGUUGACUCGGUUGAAGAAAGACCACUGGGUUUCAUGAUUUGAAUUUUUCUGAUUAAAACAUGAAUGUGCUUACCUAAGGGAGAAAAAGAGUUUCCCUCGUCUUCGUCUUUUUGAUUUCACAAAAUAAAAUUUUAUCGAAGUAUGAACGCAACAACAAGUAAAUUUAAUUUUACUAAGCACGGUCUCAAAAAUGACUCAUAGUGAGAAACAUCUUAGCAUGUUGAACAUGUUUGAUUUUUAAAAAAUCAUGAAUGUGGCCAGACACAAUGACUCACACCUGUAAGCCCAGCAUUUUGUGAGGCCAAGGUGGGAGGUUCGCUUGAUCCCAGGAAUUUCAUACCAGCCUGGGCAAUAUAGUAAGACCCCUGUCUCUACAAAAUAUACAAAAAUUAGCCAGGCAUUGUGACACAUGCCUGUAGUCCCAGCUACAGGAGAGGCUGAGGCGAGAGAAUCUCUUGUGCCAGGUAGGUCAAGGUUAUAGUGAGCUGAGAUCACACCACCAUACUGAGCACCAGAGUGAGACCCUGUAUCGAAAAAACAAAACAAAUACAAAUUAUGAAUGCAUUUCAAACUCAGGUUAAAAACGUAUUGAUUUUAAUUUGAAGAUAAAGUAUGAUAAGUAUUUUAUUUCAAAGGCCA
rnacentral:lncRNA from 1 species